AUUGAACGCUGGCGGCAUGCCUUACACAUGCAAGUCGAACGGUAACAGGUCUUCGGAUGCUGACGAGUGGCGAACGGGUGAGUAAUACAUCGGAACGUGCCUAGUAGUGGGGGAUAACUACUCGAAAGAGUGGCUAAUACCGCAUGAGAUCUACGGAUGAAAGCAGGGGAUCGCAAGACCUUGUGCUACUAGAGCGGCCGAUGGCAGAUUAGGUAGUUGGUGGGAUAAAAGCUUACCAAGCCGACGAUCUGUAGCUGGUCUGAGAGGACGAUCAGCCACACUGGGACUGAGAAACGGCCCAGACUCCUACGGGAGGCAGCAGUGGGGAAUUUUGGACAAUGGGCGCAAGCCUGGUCCAGCAAUGCCGCGUGCAGGAUGAAGGCCUUCGGGUUGUAAAUUGCUUUUGUACGGAACGAAAAGCCCCGGGUUAAUACCCUGGGGUCAUGACGGUACCGUAAGAAUAAGCACCGGCUAACUACGUGCCAGCCGCCGCGGUAA
rnacentral:rRNA from 1 species